UAACGCUGUGCUGAUACAUGAUGAACACGGAAUGAAUGAAUAUUAAACUAAGAUCUGAGGACAAAAUGCUUUUCAAGACCUUCUUUGCUGAUAAAUUAAUUUUCCUUGAUGUGGAUCUCACCUACAGUUUCCUGAUGCUUCCACUGUAUUAAAAAAAAAAAAAAGCUCUUCACAAAGCUUCAAUUCUAGAUAAUAUUAAGAAAAUUGGUAGAAGUUUCUAAAAUUAUGUUCAAAAGAAUUUGAUCUUGAUUAGAAGAUGCAGGUAACAAAAAUCUUUGGAGGCCAAAUGCUGCUCUAAACUGGCAUUGGUUCUAGCUCGGCUCUUAUAGACCUAUCACAAACUGGCCUCUGGCUCAUCUGAAUUUACAGGUUCGGCCUCCGCUUCUUCUCCUUCUCCUGGCAGAGGGUUAUCAACUGUGCUGCACUCAGAGGAACUUGACCGAUUCAAUCUCUAAAAAGAAAUUCACCACCCCACCAGACAGUUCAUUUAGGGGUCAUUCAAAUCUUAUAUUCAAGCCAUAUUCAAUAAUCAAAGUCAUGCAAAGUGUUAUGAAAAAAGAUUAACAGUAUGAUGGCCAUAAAAACGUAUAAACACAUAUUGAGGUCAGGUAACCUUAUAAUACAUCUAUGCUUGAUCUUUCUAUCUACACAUCCUGUGAAAAAUAAAUUUUAUUAUUUUUAGUAUGUUAACAAGUAAGUAUUUAGACAGAAUUAGCAUAAGGUAUUUUUUGUAAACUAUAAUAUUUGCAAAGUAUUGGCCACAUUUUUAUUGUUUUAUGUUUAAUAUAAAUUUGUGUACACCAAUAAUUAUUAUAUUCAGAUAACCAAGACCCUAGUAGAAAUAAUACAAGUGCCAAAUUGCCAAUGCCUGAUACUUGAAAGAUCAUAUAUGACAGUUGGCAGAAAAGCUUGUUGAUACUUAAAAGUAAAAAAAAAAAAAGAAAUUAGUGUAAAAUGAAACCCAAACUUAUUUGUUCUAUUAUCUCUUGGAUUUAAGAAUAUGUACCAGGAUGAUAUAGAUAGAAGGCUUUUGAUCAAGACAAAAAAAAGUCAGAUAUCAUAUUGGAAUCAAAAUGCCAAAGACCAUAGUAAUUAUUUCAUCCAACACCACCCAUUUCAGUAUAAAAUUUCAGGACAUAGUUGAAAAGAUCAUAAAGUAUUAUUUAUACUGUCAAAAAACAGUGGCUACCAAAGUGAGUACCACAUGCAAACUCUGAAACAAAGAUUCAAUGAAAUUAAACAUGGCAGACGCACACACGACAGGAAUGAAUUCAUUGUCAUUAUGAUCAUAUAGUUGAUCAUAACACAAGCUUUUCCCGCCCAGAAAUUUAUGAUCAAACAUGAUGUUUACAAACAUACACAUACACAGAAAUUUUUAGAAAAAAUACAUACAGCAAUUGUAGCAAAACUCUGUCAAUUUUUCCUAAUAUUGCUUUAUAAGGGGUAGAGCAGCACAUCAAUGGAAGAGUUCAUUUUUCAUUCUCAUUUGCUAAACGACAUGUGAAUAUUGAAACUAGUAGUUAUUACAGCAGAUGCUUCCCUUAUUAAGAUUACAGCUUUACUAUUUUUUUAGAAUAGUUCCACAAAUACAAGUGCUAAAAGGAAAUCCUCAUUUCCAUUAAAUUGAUUCCUUAAUCUAUUAAUUUGCAUUAAUAUCAUAGGCCUAAUCUGAAAUAUUAAUUUUUAGAGAUUUACUGGGAAGCUAAAAGUGUUCUUUAUGGGUACCACAUUCUCAGUGCUAUUAUUAUCACACAUUAUUCAACAUCAGUAAAAAAAGGCAUUGAUACAUUAUUGUACGUAAGGAAUGAUGUAAGCAAAGUUCUUUAUAAUGAGAGUAAAGAAUUAUGAAUACUCUAAUACUCAUAAUCAAUAUAUUGACAUCGGGGCAUUCUUCCCACCAGGUCAAAGAGUUUUAUAAUAGUAUCAGUUACGAACAGUAUCCCUAUGAAAUGUCAUUUGAUUGAAUUCAUCUAAAAUGACUUGAAAAUAAUGGAAAUAGAAAUUAAUUAUAAGACUGAAUAUAUUUAAGGUUUUAAAAUAUACAUUACUCCAAGAAACAAUGGGGAAAUGUAUAAUUACUAAUAGGCCCUACUGUGCCAAUUACCACAAAAACUAAUUUUGAGUAUGUUAUCUAAAAGACUACAGUUAUCUGAUGCCCUCAGUUCUUGACUUCUCAGAUGCAUGUGGACUGUCACCAGGGAACUGAAAGACAACGUACUAUGAUUCUGUGGCGAUGAGACCAAGACCUUCAAAUGUGAAAAAUGGGUUAUUGCCCUGGAUUUUGAGGCAAAGCAGUGGGAGAAACAGCUGACAGAAAGAAUGCAAAGCACUUUCCUGCUAGUAGCCAAAAUACUGACAACUAGCAAGUAGUUUUCAUGGUUUCCUCUAAGGUGGCAACAAUUUUUAACUAAAAUGAUUCUAAUUUGCAGAAUGCCUACUCAGCCUAAAUUAAUGAAAACAUCUUCAACCUCAGUAUUUGGUUUUCUCACUGAGCAUUAACAAAGAGGAUAUGCCAACUUAAUUUGUAAGCAAAUAAAAUGAAGAUGAUUUUAUAAAGUAUAUCUUGUCAUUUCUGAAACCUUUUAUUUUCAUAGCUUUUAUGGCAAUUUUUUGUCAAUUAAAUUCAGAGUUUGGCUCAAAUUUUAUAUCAUAAAUGACAGUUAUUCAAGAUGAUUCCUCAUCAGAACAGACAUUAUCAAAAUAUUUAAUAUGAACUAUCGUUUGUGUCAUAAGCCAAAUUGCUAUGGCUUUUUAGAAAUUCAAGUUAAAAUGUUUUUAGGAAUUCUAUGUUUUCCUGGGGAUGCAUGAAGUAUUCACAAAGUAGCUAUUUUAGUACUGUAUAUAAUAUUAAACAUUUAUGUGCAUGCCCUAGUGAUGUAGACGGUUCAGUUCUAAUCUAUUCAUCCUUUAAAUUUAAUAUUUACUGAAGUGGAAGUUUCUUUAACAGGGUCCAAAAGGAUGCUUUUAAGUAGAAAGGCUAAUAUCUAUAAUAAAAACUUUCUCUUAAAGGGAAGUGCAUUUUAUUCUCAUAGCAGGUGUUGCUAUAUUUAACUACUGAAUUUUCUUAUUGCUUAGUACACAGAGAUCAAGUCAAUCAUUAGAAUCAUUUUACAAAAUAAAUUAUAUGAUUAUUUUCAUAUCUAUAAACUCAAUCAUUUGUAAUUUAGUUUCCUUUCUUGUAACAUUGAAAAUUGAAGAAUUAUUAUAGUACACUAAGACCAGUGAAAUAAAUACUUUGGUGUAAAAAAUUUCCCUCUCAAUAUUACAAAUAUGCUAUUUUGUAAUU